AUUGAACGCUGGCGGCAGGCUUAACACAUGCAAGUCGAGCGAGCGGCGGACGGGUGAGUAAUGUCUGGGAAACUGCCCGAUGGAGGGGGAUAACUACUGGAAACGGUAGCUAAUACCGCAUACCAUCGGAUGUGCCCAGAUGGGAUUGGCUAGUAGGUGGGGUAACGGCUCACCUAGGCGACGAUCCCUAGCUGGUCUGAGAGGAUGACCAGCCACACUGGAACUGGGACACGGUCCAGACUCCUACGGGAGGAGGCAGUGGGGAAUAUUGCACAAUGGGCGCAAGCCGGAUGCAGCCAUGCCGCGUGUAUGAAGAAGGCCUUCGGGUUGUAAAGUACUUUCAGCGAGGAGGCGUUACUCGCAGAAGAAGCACCGGCUAACUACGUGCCAGCAGCCGCGGUAAUUC
rnacentral:rRNA from 1 species